rnacentral:rRNA from 1 species
GAGUUUGAUCCUGGCUCAGGAUGAACGCUGGCGGCGUGCUUAACACAUGCAAGUCGAACGAAGCACUUAAGUUUGAUUCUUCGGAUGAGGACUUUUGUGACUGAGUGGCGGACGGGUGAGUAACGCGUGGGUAACCUGCCUCAUACAGGGGGAUAACAGUUAGAAAUGGCUGCUAAUACCGCAUAAGACCACAGCACCGCAUGGUGCAGGGGUAAAAACUCCGGUGGUAUGAGAUGGACCCGCGUCUGAUUAGGUAGUUGGUGGGGUAACGGCCUACCAAGCCGACGAUCAGUAGCCGACCUGAGAGGGUGACCGGCCACAUUGGGACUGAGACACGGCCCAAACUCCUACGGGAGGCAGCAGUGGGGAAUAUUGCACAAUGGGGGAAACCCUGAUGCAGCGACGCCGCGUGAGCGAUGAGGUAUUUCGGUAUGUAAAGCUCUAUCAGCAGGGAAGAAAAUGACGGUACCUGACUAAGAAGCACCGGCUAAAUACGUGCCAGCCGCCGCGGUAAUUC